rfam:Oleiphilus sp. HI0009 HI0009_c34, whole genome shotgun sequence.
GUGAGGUUGGCAGAGUGGUUAUGCAACUGAUUGCAAAUCAGUUUUAGGCGGGUUCAAGUCCCGCACUUCACU